CCAAGUUAUUAUUUUUUAAUGUAAUAAUAAGUCUAGUUAUAACCAGUACAGAAUAGUGCACCAGCUUGAGUAAAUCAUCAAGAAUCUAUGCCUCUUCCAGCCCCUUCCUCAAGUAUAUUUUGUUUCCUGGUUGUCACAGCUGCUCCUCUGCUACCUAUCACAUUUGCAUUCCAGGUAUGCUGACAUGGCAUCAGUGCCCUUGCCCUGACCUUGAACUCCGGGUGGUGCCAAGCAAAGUCACCAGGCACUCACUCAGGUUGCAACAUGCGUUUCUGCACCUUCAGAUCUCGAAAGCACAGAGGCCCUUUCAUGCUCUUUGGGCCAGCCUUGAUUAUGCCCCAAAAGGCCUCAGGAGUAGAGCCGCUGGCCCUGCAAGCUGGGUUUCAGGAGAGGACAACAGCUUUCCUUCAAAGGGCAAGAUUGAAGCCGAUUUCCAACAGUAACAGAAACUCCUUGAGCACGUUGAUGUGGUGCAGGUAAAGUAGGCAGCUCCCUCGUUUCCAGAAGGCUCCUACCUUCCCCUCCUGGGCCACGGCCUGUGCUCCAGCAAGCAGCUUCCCUUCUGCACCUAUAAACUCCUUAUCUCCGUCCCCUCCUUGAACGCCUUACUCUUCACACCUUCUCCUCUAAGGAGUGCUCGAAAUGAUUUCCAGAGUGUACUUCAGUUCUCGGCUUCUCUUAGGACAGAACAAACACCUGUUAGCACCUAAGGGAGGGUUUGACUUUCCCUUAGUCUCACCUCCCAUCACUGCCCCUCCCGUCCACUGGAGACAGAUCACCUACCUAAGGAAGCCUUCCAAACCUCACGCCCAUGCACGCGUGCACACACACACUCACACAGGGCCAUGGAACUUUUGCUUACAUGGGGUUACACUAAAAGUUGACCACUCAAGUUCUCCACAAUGCUUUGAACAUAGAAGCUAAGUCUAGCUAGAAUACAUCUUACUUGAAUCAUCUUGGAUAUACAGGAAUUUGAAUUCAUUUGGCAUAUCAGAAUCUGGUUUGUUAUAUAAGUAGGACCAAAUACUUUUCAGGGCUUCUGGGUGUUUUCUAACACUGAAUUGUAGAGGAGACGCAUAACUUCUUUGUUUAUUAAUAUGUGUAUGCCUUUUUGCGGGUUCUUCUUCAUCAAUUUGCUGAAACAUGAUGAAUUGUUACCUUAAUUUGACUUCUGAGCCCUUGUGUCCACAAUACCUCCUGUCUUUGGAAAGGGCUAAUUCUUGUUAUUUAUUUAUUUAUAAUGAUCCCUUUCUUGCACAAUUACAAAAAAAAAUAGAAAAACAGAUUUGAAGCAAUU